CACGUAGUUAGCCGGAGCUUCUUCUGGAGGUACCGUCAAUCCGGUCGGCUAUUCACCGCCGAACCUUCGUCCCUCCUGAAAGGGGUUUACAACCCGAAGGCCGUCUUCCCCCACGCGGCGUUGCUGCGUCACGCUUUCGCGCAUUGCGCAAGAUUCCCCACUGCUGCCUCCCGUAGGAGUCUGGGCCGUGUCUCAGUCCCAGUGUGGCUGAUCGUCCUCUCAGACCAGCUACCCAUCGCAGCCUUGGUGAGCCGUUACCUCACCAACAAGCUAAUGGGCCGCGAGCCCCCUCCAAUGCGGAGGCCGAAGCUUCCUUAGUACACAAACUUACGAAAGUGCACAACAUCCGGUAUUAGCCCGAGUUUCCUCGGGUUGUCCCGGUCAUCGGGGCAGGUUACUCACGUGUUACUCACCCGUUCGCGGCUUGGCCCCAGGGCAAGCCCUGGUUCGUCGCACCACUUGCAUGUGUUAAGCACGCCGCCAGCCGUUCGUCCUGAGCCAGGAUCAAACUC
rnacentral:rRNA from 1 species